GACGAACGCUGGCGGCGUGCCUAACACAUGCAAGUCGAACGGAAAGGCCCUGAUUUUGUGGGGUGCUCGAGUGGCGAACGGGUGAGUAACACGCGAGUAACCUGCACUUGACUUUGGGAUAACUUCAGCGAACAGGGGCUAAUAUCGGAUAGGAGCUCCUGCUGCACGGUGGGGGUUGGAAAGUUUCGGCGGUUGGGGAUGGACUCGCGGGUUAUCAGCUUGUUGGUGGGGUAGUGGUUUACCAAGGCUUUGACGGGUAGCCGGCCUGAGAGGGUGAACGGCCACAAUACGACUGCGGGAGGGCGCAGACGCGUACGGGAGGCAGCGGUGGAAAGUCUGACGCAAUAAGCGCGAGCCUGAGACGACGGCCCCGCGUUCGGAAUGACCGGCUUCUGGUUAUAAACCGCUUUCGCCUGUAACGAGGCGUGAGUGACGGUAAUUGGUAAGAAAGCACCGGCUAACUACGUG
rnacentral:rRNA from 1 species